UACGUAGGAGGCAAGCGUUGUCCGGAUUUACUGGGCGUAAAGCGCGCGCAGGCGGCUCGGCAAGUAAGGUGUGAAAUCUCCCUGCUCAACGGGGAGGGUGCACUUUAGACUGUUGGGCUUGAGGUCGGUAGAGGGGGGUGGAAUUGCUGGUGUAGCGGUGAAAUGCGUAGAGAUCAGCAGGAACACCCGUGGCGAAGGCGGCCCCCUGGGCCGUACCUGACGCUGAGGCGCGAAGGCUAGGGGAGCGAACGGG
rnacentral:rRNA from 1 species